GAACGCUGGCGGCGUGCUUAACACAUGCAAGUCGGACGGCAGCACAGAGAAGCUUGCUUCUUGGGUGGCGAGUGGCGAACGGGUGAGUAACAUAUGGAACGUACCGAGCAGUGGGGGAUAAUAAUCGAAAGAUUAGCUAAUACCGCAUAUAUUCUGAGGAAGAAAGCAGGGGACCAUUUGGCCUUGCGCUGUUUGAGCGGCCGAUAUCUGAUUAGCUAGUUGGUGGGGUAAAGGCCUACCAAGGCGACGAUCAGUAGCGGGUCUGAGAGGAUGAUCCGCCACACUGGGACUGAGACACGGCCCAGACUCCUACGGGAGGCAGCAGUGGGGAAUUUUGGACAAUGGGCGCAAGCCUGAUCCAGCCAUGCUGCGUGUCUGAAGAAGGCCUUCGGGUUGUAAAGGACUUUUGUCAGGGAAGAAAAAGGCGGGGUUAAUACCCCUGUCUGAUG
rnacentral:rRNA from 1 species